UACGUAGGGUGCAAGCGUUGUCCGGAAUCACUGGGCGUAAAGCGCACGUAGGCGGAUGUGUCAGUCAGGGGUGAAAUCCCGGAGCUCAACUUCGGAACUGCCUUUGAUACAGCACGUCUUGAGUCCGAUAGAGGUGGGUGGAAUUCCUAGUGUAGAGGUGAAAUUCGUAGAUAUUAGGAAGAACACCGGUGGCGAAGGCGGGUCUCUGGGCAGUAACUGACGCUGAGGAGCGAAAGCGUGGGGAGCGAACAGG
rnacentral:rRNA from 1 species